ACCCAGGAGGUGCAUGCAGUUUCAGUCAGAGUUAUAGAGGAGAGAAGAAGAGAUAAUACCAAGUUAGAGAUGACAAAGCAUGGCAGCUCCAGUUUUGGUGGUGCUCUGUCCCUUUGCAAGGUGAUCUUGAUGGUCCUCGCCCUCAUCUGCACCCUGCACACUGCCUCCGUGCAAGGAGGUAAAAUACACUUCUAAUCCCUCAGGGUCGAUCUCUUUACAGCAGGGGCGGCUCCAGCAGGUAGUCCGGGUGGUCCUUGGACCACCCUGGAUUUUGGCCCACGAGGACCCCCCCCCCCCGACGGCCCAAAUCAAAAAAGCCCACCACAGGCGCUAGGGUUAGGAUGACAGAGGAGAGGCGCACCGCGUAGGGACACCCGCCGCUCCGCUUCGCUUCUGUCUCGUCUCCGCCUCUCCCGAGUCCCGAUUCUCCACUCCUCGCCUCGUCGCAUCCUCGUCCUCUCGCUCUGCGGCUGCGGCAGGCGCCAGCGCCGGCGGCCAUCGCCUGUACGCCUGCAGGAGCAGGACUGCAGGAGGCGGGCGACAGCCCGUCGGCCGCCCGGGCCCGACGUGGGCGUGCGGCACCAUCCCGGCCGGCGGCGGCUAGCCGGCCACCAUUUUGCCCCGCCGCCCGGCCACCCCUCACGGCAGCGACGACGCACCGGAGUCGGGUCCCUCUCCUUCCAGCCUCCUGCUCGACGAGUCACGAGUAGACGGCUUUGCUUGCUCCGGCCUCCAGUGCCCUGCCCCCCUGCUGCUGCCUGCCCCUCUGUGAAAGAACUGAAGAGUGAAGACCGAGAUGUGAGACAUGAAAAGGAAUGGAGACAUUGCAUCGCUUUUUCGGAAACAUGAAGCAAAGGCGAAGAAGAGGGCAGAUCUUAUUGAUGAGGAAGCUCAAAUUGAAGAAGAGGAGCCACCACUAGUUGAGCCACAUCCUGUGCCAACUCCAGUUGUUGAGGCAACAAAUGAAGAGCAAGAUGCACCUCCAGAGUAUGAUGCUGAUCAUCUUCAAUAUGAUCCAGGACUGAGGUCCCCUAUUGCGAGCUAUGAUGUCAAUGAACAAGACGCAGUUCGGCGUGCAUAUAUUCUGAAAGGCCCAAACCAAUGUUAUGCACAUGAUUUCCCAGUCAGGGAAAUUUAUGGUAAGAAGCGCCACUUCAAUUUUGUUUGGUUUCAUAAGUACCAAUGGCUUGAAUAUAGUGUAGCAAAGGAUGCUGGGUUUUGCAUGGUAUGUUACUUGUUUGGUAGUGGAACUAGUAAUUUUGUUACGGAUGGUUGGAGAAAUUGGAACAAAGCCGAUGCACUUGACAAACAUGUGGGGGGUAUAACAAGUGCUCACAAUAAAGCUCAAGAGAAAUACAACCUAUUUGUAAGUGGUGGUCCUUCAAUAGAUAAUGUCAUUGUGAAGGUGUCAAAUGAAAGUGAAAUUCACUAUAAGGCUAGGUUGACAUAUUCACUUAGAUGUUUGAGAUAUCUUUUAAAUCAAGGAUUGGCAUUUCGUGGACAUGAUGAAAGUGAAGAAUCUAGUAACCGAGGGAAUUUUAUUGAACUUUUGAAAUGGCUUGCUGAAAAUAAUAAAGAAGUUGAUCGGUUGGUGUUGAAAAAUGCUCCUGGAAAUUGCAUCUUGACUUGUUCUAGUAUACAAAGGGAAAUUAUCCAUUGUUGUGCUGAUGAGACUACUAAGCGCAUCAUUGAAGAACUUGGUGAUGAUCAUUAUGCAAUUCUUGCUGAUGAGUGUAGUGACCUUUCACAUAAGGAACAACUUGCUCUUUGUGUGCGGUAUAUUGACAAACUUGGAAGAGUAUGUGAACGGUUCCUUGGAGUAGUCCAUGUAGCUAGUACCACUUCUGCUGCACUUAAGAAGGCAAUUCUAACUUUGCUUAGUGAUCAUCACUUGAGUCCUUCUCAAAUUCGUGGUCAAGGAUAUGAUGGGGCUAGUAACAUGAAAGGGAAGAUUAAUGGGCUGAAAACAUUGAUCAUGAAAGAGUCUCCUUCAGCUUAUUACAUCCACUGUUUUGCACAUCAACUUCAAUUAGUUCUUGUUUCUGUUGCCAAGGGAAAUGAUGAUUGCGUAUGGUUUUUUACUCAAGUUUCUCACUUACUGAAUAUUGUUGGUACUUCUUGUAAGCGUCAUGACAUGCUUAGAGAUGUUAGAGCUCAAAAGAUUAUGGAAGCACUUGAAUUGGGUGAAAUAGAAAGUGGGGUUGGAUUAAAUCAAGAGAUGGGAUUGGCUAGGCCAGGUGAUACUAGAUGGGGUUCUCAUUACAAAACAAUAUUGCAUAUUAUUGGUAUGUACCCCACAAUUCAUGAGGUGCUCAUAACUCUUGGAAAAGACCCCACACAAAGAGAUGAUUGGCCAAGAAUACAUGCUGUGGUUGGAGCUUUUGAAUCAUUUGAUUUUGUUUUUAGUGCACAUUUGAUGCUUGUCAUUCUUGGAUAUACAAAUGAGUUGUGUUUGUGCUUGCAAAAGAGAGACCAAGAUAUUGUUAAUGCAAUGUCACUUGUAACUUUGGCCAAGGAAAGAAUGCAAAAAUUAAGAUCUGAAGGAUGGGAAGAAUUUUUUCAAGGAACUGUUGUUUCAUUUUGCAAUAAACAUAGUAUCCAAGUUCCAACCUUAGAUGGAAAAUAUGUGCCACAUGGAAGAUCUCCACGGUUUUAUCCGGACCAAACAAAUGAUGAUCAUUUUAGAAGAGAAGUGUACAUUGGUGUGAUUGAUAAAAUUAGCCAAGAGCUCAAUAGUAGGUUUGAUGAGGUUAAUAUGGAAUUGCUCAUUUGCAUGUCAGCAUUGAAUCCAUUCAAUUCAUUUGCCUCUUAUGAUGCACAACAAGUACUUAAGCUUGCCAAGUUUUAUCCAAAAGAGUUUUCAACCAUGGAUUUGAUCAGACUAGAAAUGCAACUUGGGACUUUUAUUGAUGAUAUGAGAAGAGAUGAAAGGUUCAAAGGCCUAGAAACUCUUGCUGAGCUCUCUAUUAAACUUGUUGAAACAAACAAGCAUGUUCUUUAUGAUUGGGUCUAUUUACUUCUCAAGUUGGUAUUGAUAUUACCUGUAGCAACAGCAAGUGUUGAGAGGGUGUUUUCUGCAUUGAGUGUAGUGAAGAGCAAGCUGAGAAAUAGUAUGUGUGACAAAUUAUUGAAUGAUUGUUUAAUCACAUUUAUUGAGCGGGAUGUCUUCUCUCAAGUUAGCGAAGAAGACAUUAAAAAGAAUUUCAUGUCUAUGAAGACCCGGCGAGUAGAAAAGAAGUAGUGUAUUAUAAUCUUCUACCUAAAUAUUGACCACCCAACGAUUCGAUCCUGGAGCCGCCACUGCUUUACAGUGGUCUGAUCUCUCUAUCGGUAGUAUUACACUAUCGGUAUUGUCAAUGAAGGUAGCUCCCGGGGAGAGCGGCUGCGGCAAUUGGUGGGGGUGGGAAGGGUUCAGUAUUGGAUCCAACCUACACGCCGCCGACGACCCCCGGCGGGUCUUACACCGGCGGCCGGGGAUGCCGCGGACCCUACAGAUGCCCUCCUGGAGCAGGCUCGCCAUGACCAUGACCCACACUCCAUCUCUCUGCUACAUACAGUGCUACUGCAUGAUCGAAGACCAUAUCGAUCUCGAUCUCAUUAUCUAAAAUUAAAGUAUCGAUCUCGAUCUACUCAUGUCGAUCGAUGCUAUGCCUAUAUAUACAAACAAAUAAAUAAACCAGCAGGCAUCUAACGCAGAUCGAUGGAUCGAGUAGGUGUCUUUUAAUUCCUCUGUAUGCGUUCCAUAUUGGAGUAUAUAUAAAAGUAGUAUCUGCUCAGUGUGAUGUGUGCAGUGAACGUGAGGCAGCAGCAGCAUAUCUGCAUAUGUGAUAUGUAGUAUGACUGUUACGUA